rnacentral:tRNA from 1 species
GAGGGUAUAGCUCAGUGGCAGGGUGUGUGACUUACAUGCAUGGGGUCCUGGGUUCAAUCCCCAGGACCUCUA